CUACGGGUCGCAGCAGUGGGGAAUAUUGCACAAUGGGCGCAAGCCUGAUGCAGCCAUGCCGCGUGUAUGAAGAAGGCCUUCGGGUUGUAAAGUACUUUCAGCGGGGAGGAAGGGAGUAAAGUUAAUACCUUUGCUCAUUGACGUUACCCGCAGAAGAAGCACCGGCUAACUCCGUGCCAGCAGCCGCGGUAAUACGGAGGGUGCAAGCGUUAAUCGGAAUUACUGGGCGUAAAGCGCACGCAGGCGGUUUGUUAAGUCAGAGGUGAAAUCCCCGGGCUCAACCUGGGAACUGCAUCUGAUAAUGUCAAGCUCGAGUCUCGGAGAGGGGGGUAGAAUUCCAGGUGUAGCGGUGAAAUGCGUAGAGACCUGGAGGAAUACCGGUGGCGAAGGCGGCCGCCUGGACGAAGACUGACGCUCAGGUGCGAAAGCGUGGGGAGCAAACAGGAUUAGAUACCCUAGUAGUC
rnacentral:rRNA from 1 species